UUGACCUCAAAUCAGGUAGGACUACCCGCUGAACUUAAGCAUAUCAAUAAGCGGAGGAAAAGAAACUAACAAGGAUUCCCCUAGUAACUGCGAGUGAAGAGGGAAAAGCUCAAAUUUAAAAUCUGGCAGCUUCGCUGUCCGAGUUGUAUUUAGA
rnacentral:rRNA from 1 species